GAUGAACGCUGGCGGCGUGCCUAAUACAUGCAAGUCGAGCGAACGGACGAGAAGCUUGCUUCUCUGAUGUUAGCGGCGGACGGUUGAGUAACACGUGGAUAACCUACCUAUAAGACUUGGAUAACUUCGGGAAACCGUAGCUAAUACCGGAUAAUAUUUUGAACCUCAUGGUUCAACAGUGAAAGACGGUCUUGCUGUCACUUAUAGAUGUAUCCGCGCUGCAUUAGCUAGUUGGUAAGGUAACGGCUUACCAAGGCAACGAUGCAUAGCCGACCUGAGAGGGUGAUCGGCCACACUGGAACUGAGACACGGUCCAGACUCCUACGGGAGGCAGCAGUAGGGAAUCUUCCGCAAUGGGCGAAAGCCUGACGGAGAAACGCCGCGUGAGUGAUGAAGGUCUUCGGAUCGUAAAACUCUGUUAUUAGGGAAGAACAUAUGUGUAAGUAACUGUGCACAUCUUGACGGUACCUAAUCAGAAAGCCAAGGCUAACUACGUG
rnacentral:rRNA from 1 species